GACUCAAAAGAGCAGCACCACUUGACGAUCGCGGUCUCAAUCCGGACUCGAGCGAGUUUUAUUUGGGACGAGGGUGAGAGGUUUGUUUACACCGAUUCUUUGUAAUAGGAGCCACCGUCCCAGUGUUUUCCCUCUGACGGGGCAACGCUCCAAGACUACAUUUCCCAUGAUGUAAUGCUCUUUAUUCUCCGUCUUGACCGACUUCUCCCUGCCUCCAUAGGCCAGAGGAGGCUGAGUUUAGGGAAAGUAUCGACGUUUAUGCUUGUCAAUCAGCGAGGAGCCGUGGGGAGUGAAACUGGAGGGAAGGUCGACGAUCGGGACGGAUUUCUAGUCCAAAAAGCACUUCAGUGCUAAUGGGACCAUAAUGUUUUGGAAAAAUAAGGAAAAACUGUACAUAUUUCCAAGGAAACUGUUUUGGUUUACUUUGAAAUAAGGCAAUCAAGCAAAGCUUUCACUACGCCGAACUUAGCGAGUAUCACUCGCUGCAUUUGAGCUGGGGGGAAAAAAGGCGAAAACGGCGGAUUAUUUACACGACAAAGUGCGUAAACUAAAAGAGGGCUCAACUACAGACGGAUAUCGCUGUGUUUGAACGCGCCGAGGUUGAUCUAUUCCUCUCGCCAGAGGAGAGGACUUCAUCCAGAGGAGUUUUUGUCGGGAAGCUCUUCUUCCCCGUGGACGUGCUGGAAAGCCAGGAGCGACGGUUGAAACACGAAACUUAAAGCGCGUAUUUUCAAGGAAGCUCAGAAGAAAAUGAGCGGAGGAGAUGUGGUGUACUCGGGGUGGCUCAGAAAGUCUCCACCUGAAAAAAAGUUACGGCGUUAUCUGCUCUUCUGCUCCUGACGUGUCGGUCUCUCGCAGACGGAGCUGCCUGACAGCAGCAUGGCGACCAUUUCCUGUGCUGCUGUGCUACCGCUGCUGAUGCUUCCCAGAUGGCUGUAGAAAGCUCAUUCUCUCUCUCUCUCUCCCUUUUCUCCUUUCUUUAUUUGGAAUAAAGCCUAGUUAUGGGGCCGAGUACAUUAAGAGGAGGUGUUGGAGAGAGAACGAAAUGAGUAGGCAGCAGGACCUGUUCUGGAAAACAGAGCCGUGUGGGAUUGAAGAAUCAGUUUUGGCUAUUGUAGUGACACUCCAGAACGACUGACAUAAUAAUCCAAAUUUACUGCGAAACAAAACAUGUGUUGAAAAAAACGAAAUAAAUUCUUGGCCGAUGGCCAU